rnacentral:piRNA from 1 species
UGCCACUCAGGAAUUUAGCAUGGGACUUCU